rnacentral:rRNA from 1 species
UACGAAGGGGGCUAGCGUUGUUCGGAAUUACUGGGCGUAAAGGGCGCGUAGGCGGUGUGUCAAGUCAGGCGUGAAAGCCCCGGGCUCAACCUGGGAACCGCGCUUGAGACUGGCACGCUAGAGUUCGGGAGAGGAUGGUGGAAUUCCCAGUGUAGAGGUGAAAUGCGUAGAUAUCGGGAGGAACACCAGUGGCGAAGGCGACUUCCUGGCCUGUUCUUGACGCUGAGGCGCGAAAGCUAGGGUAGCAAACGGG